rnacentral:rRNA from 1 species
UACGUAGGGUGCAAGCGUUAAUCGGAAUUACUGGGCGUAAAGCGUGCGCAGGCGGUUUUGUAAGUCUGUCGUGAAAUCCCCGGGCUCAACCUGGGAAUUGCGAUGGAGACUGCAAGGCUAGAAUCUGGCAGAGGGGGGUAGAAUUCCACGUGUAGCAGUGAAAUGCGUAGAGAUGUGGAGGAACACCGAUGGCGAAGGCAGCCCCCUGGGGUCAAGAUUGACGCUCAUGCACGAAAGGCGUGGGGAGCAAACAGGAUUAG